rnacentral:rRNA from 1 species
GACGAACGCUGGCGGCGCGCUUAACACAUGCAAGUCGAACGGAAAGGCCUGCUUUCCCUUGUGGAUUGCGGGUACUCGAGUGGCGAACGGGUGAGUAACACGUGAGUGAUCUGCCCCCAACUUGGGUAUAAGCCUGGGAAACUGGGUCUAAUUCCCGAUAGGACUGCAGGGUGGUGCCUGUGGUGGAAAACGAUUUUCUAGUGGUUGGGGAUGAGCUCGCGGCCUAUCAGCUUGUUGGUGGGGUAAUGGCCUACCAAGGCGGCGACGGGUAGCCGGCCUGAGAGGGUGGACGGCCACAUUGGGACUGAGAUACGGCCCAGACUCCUACGGGAGGCAGCAGUGGGGAAUAUUGCACAAUGGGCGGAAGCCUGAUGCAGCGACGCCGCGUGGGGGAUGACGGCCUUCGGGUGGUAAACUCCUUUCGGCCGCGAGGAAGCCACCUGGUUGGAAGGGUGGUGACGGUAGUGGUAGAAGAAGCACCGGCUAACUACGUG